UUCCGAGGCGGUGGGCCCAGAAUCGGGGUUUUGAGGGCGAGAUGUGUUUAUGUUUUAUCCAACUGGCCCACAAAGUCCCGCUUUUGGGGUCAUGCUCUGCAG
rnacentral:pre_miRNA from 1 species